UCCGGUUGAUCCUGCCAGAGGUCAUUGCUAUCAGUGUUCGACUAAGCCAUGCGAGUCAAAUGUUCUUCGGAACAUGGCGUACUGCUCAGUAACACGUGGACAACCUGCCCUAAGGUCUGGCAUAACUCCGGGAAACUGGGGAUAAUUCCAGAUAAACCAUGGAUACUGGAAUGUACUGUGGUUAAAAGCUCCGGUGCCUUAGGAUGGAUCUGCGGCCUAUCAGGUAGUAGUGGGUGUAAUGUACCUACUAGCCUACGACGGGUACGGGUUGUGAGAGCAAGAGCCCGGAGAUGGAUUCUGAGACAUGAAUCCAGGCCCUACGGGGCGCAGCAGGCGCGAAAACUUUACAAUGCGGGAAACCGCGAUAAGGGGACACUGAGUGCCAGCACCAUGUGCUGGCUGUCCGCAUGUAUAAAUCACAUUGUCAGCAAGGGCCGGGCAAGACCGGUGCCAGCCGCCGCGGUAACACCGGCGGCCCGAGUGGUGGCCAUUAUUAUUGGGUCUAAAGGGUCCGUAGCCGGUUUGAUCAGUCUUCCGGGAAAUCUGACAGCUCAACUGUUAGGCUUCUGGGGGAUACUGUCAGACUUGGAACCGGGAGAGGUAAGAGGUACUACAGGGGUAGGAGUGAAAUCUUGUAAUCCUUGUGGGACCACCAGUGGCGAAGGCGUCUUACCAGAACGGGUUCGACGGUGAGGGACGAAAGCUGGGGGCACGAACCGGAUUAGAUACCCGGGUAGUCCCAGCCGUAAACGAUGCUCGCUAGGUGUCUGGGAUGGUGCGACCGUUUCAGGUGCCGCAGGGAAGCCGUGAAGCGAGCCACCUGGGAAGUACGGCCGCAAGGCUGAAACUUAAAGGAAUUGGCGGGAACCACACACGGGGGAGCCUGGCGGUUAAUGGGCCUCACCCCGAAAAUUCCCCGGGGCGACACAAUAUUUAGUCCGGCCGAAGUUCUUCCGGAAUUGUAGAGAGAAGGCCAUGCCGUUCUCCAGUUCGUACUGGGAGCAUUCGGUAAGUUCAGGCANCGAGCGAGAACGGUGCCCACUGUGGCAAGCAUAUCUUCGGGAUGAUGGGUACUCUGUGGGGACCGCNGAUGCUAAAUCGAGGAAAGUGCNNGGCUACGUAGUNNCAGUAUGCCCNGAAUCUCCAGGGCUACACGCGGGCUACAAUGACCGGANCAAUGGUCCCCUACCCCGAAAGGGGUGGUAAUCUCAUAAACCCGGCCUUAGUUCGGAUCGGGGGCUGCAACUCGCCCUCGUGAAGCUGGAAUCCGUAGUAAUCGCGUUUCAAUAUAGCGCGGUGAAUACGUCCCUGCUCCUUGCACACACCGCCCGUCAAACCACCCGAGUGAGGUAUGGGUGAGGGCACGGAUUCAUGCCGUGUUCGAACCUAAAUUUUGCAAGGGGGGUU
rnacentral:rRNA from 1 species